rnacentral:rRNA from 1 species
AGUGAACGCUGGCGGUAGGCCUAAUACAUGCAAGUCGAACGGAAACACAGGAAGAGUGUGCUCUUACGGGUGGCGACCGGCGGACGGGUGAGGAGUACAUCGGCAACUACUUUUUCGGGGGGGAUAACGGAGGGAAACUGACGAUAAUACCGCAUACGACCUACGGGUUGAAGCAGUGGAUAUUCGGAGCUUGCCCGUUAGAUUUAGACGGUGCCGGAUUAGCUAGGUGGCGAGGUAACGGCCCACCAAGGCGACGAUGCGUAGCUGGUCUGAGAGGAUGAUCGGCCACACUGGAACUGAGACACGGUCCAGACUCCUACGGGAGGCAGCAGUGGGGAAUAUUGGGCAAUGGGCGCAAGCCUGACCCAGCCAUGCCGCGUGAGUGAAGAAGGCCUUCGGGUUGUAAAGCCCUUUUGUUGGGAAAGAAAAGCAGCGGGUUAAUACACGGCUGUCCUGACGGUACCCAAAGAAUAAGCACCGGCUAACUACGUG